rnacentral:rRNA from 1 species
UCAGGUUCGGAAUAACAGCGAGAAAUUGCUGCUAAUACCGGAUGAUAUCGCGAGAUCAAAGAUUUAUCGCCUGAGGAUGAGCCCGCGUAGGAUUAGCUAGUUGGUGUGGUAAAGGCGCACCAAGGCGACGAUCCUUAGCUGGUCUGAGAGGAUGAUCAGCCACACUGGGACUGAGACACGGCCCAGACUCCUACGGGAGGCAGCAGUGGGGAAUAUUGGACAAUGGGCGAAAGCCUGAUCCAGCAAUGCCGCGUGAGUGAUGAAGGCCUUAGGGUUGUAAAGCUCUUUUACCCGGGAUGAUAAUGACAGUACCGGGAGAAUAAGCUCCGGCUAACUCCGUGCCAGCAGCCGCGGUAAUACGGAGGGAGCUAGCGUUAUUCGGAAUUACUGGGCGUAAAGC